GACGUAGGGUGCGAGCGUUGUCCGGAUUUAUUGGGCGUAAAGAGCUCGUAGGCGGCUCGUCGCGUCGACCGUGAAAACCCGCGGCUUAACUGCGGGCUUGCGGUUGAUACGGGCGGGCUAGAGUUCGGUAGGGGAGACUGGAAUUCCUGGUGUAGCGGUGAAAUGCGCAGAUAUCAGGAGGAACACCGGUGGCGAAGGCGGGUCUCUGGGCCGAUACUGACACUGAGGAGCGAAAGCCAGGGGAGCAAACGGG
rnacentral:rRNA from 1 species